AUGAACGCUGGCGGCGUGCCUCAUACAUGCAAGUAGCACGCUGAAGGUCGGAGCUUGCUCUUUCCGGAUGCGUUGCGCACGGGUGAGUAACGCGUAGGUAACCUGCCUGGUAGCGGGGGAUAACUAUUGGAAACGAUAGCUAAUACCGCAUAACAGUAGAUGUUGCAUGUUAUCUACUUAAAAGGUGCAAUUGCACCACUACCAGAUGGACCUGAGUUGUCUUAGCUUGUUGGUGAGGUAACGGCUCACCAAUGCGACGAUACAUAGCCGACCUGAAAGGGUGAUCGCCCACACUGGGACUGAGACACGGCCCAGACUCCUGCGGGAGGCAGCAGUAGGGAAUCUGCGGCAAUGGACGGAAGUCUGACCGAGCAACGCCGCGUGAGAGAAGAAGGUUUUCGGAUCGUAAAGCUCUGUUGUAAGAGAAGAACGAGUGUGAGAGUGGAAAGUUCACACUGUGACGGUAUCUUACCAGAAAGGGACGGCUAACUACGUG
rnacentral:rRNA from 1 species